CCACGACGGUUGCAAGAAUCGACCUCGUUCAAGUUUCACGACCGUUCUCCACCUGCCGCCAUGUUCUUUCAAUUCACGCAGCUAAGAAUCCCAAAUUCUAACGCAAUUUAAUUUUCUUUUCAGAAUCAUAAACCCCUUUUACAUGAUGACGACUGUGUGUUAGAUCUGAGAGCUCUAAUCGAAAGCAUCAAACAUCCUCUGGUGAUCUUCGUACUAGCCUCCUUCGAUUGCUACGCCAAGGGGAAGAUCUCUCUUUGAAAUCGCACAAAUCAGGUUGGUGUUGUUGUUGGCAUUGAUAUUGAUUCUCUUCCCCCUUCCUCUCUUAUCUCUCUGUUUCCGCGCCACACAAAUAUGAAGCAAUGUUUGGAGAAUCCGACACCGCUAUUCACAAGGUUCAAGUAAGAUUCAAACUCUAUCAUUGACUAUCAUCAUUUCCAUGAUGUUUAUCUUAUUCGAUUUAGGGUACAAAAUUUCUUACAUAGUUCCUAAUAUCUUAAUUAGCUUGACCUCUCAGGCUUCAUAGAUUGGAUUGGUGUUGAAUGUCUUAAUCAAAGCACCAGUCACUCUCAUCCCAAUGCUAUUAAACAUGUUAUGUUCUUUUUUGUAUGAUUCAAUUCAGAAGCAAAAACCCUUAUUCUGUUAGCUAUGAUUUUAUCUUACUGUAAUUUUGAUUGAAGAAAAUUAGGGUUAUAGUGAAUAUGAAGGUAUGCAUCUAGAAAGUGAUGCAGGUUAGCUGCUCUUGCUUUAUAUUGCUGUCACCCAAGUUACUAAACUUUAUUACAUAGUUAUCAAAGGUUUUGUGAAAACUCAAUUGUUACUGAAUUUGUGUCAUCGGAGCUGUCUCUUGAGAUGCAAAAGAUUACACGGAUUAAAUCGACUUGUGCGUCUCGAGCCCCAUAAUGAUGCUUAAAUUGUGGUUCGUCUAAAAUUAAGCAAUUGACUAAACAUUUAUGGAAUUAUAACUUGUUAAUUGUUUUAUUUUACACCAAUUGUUACUUCCUGUUAGCAAAAUAUCAAAUGAGUUCCUAAAGUUGAAUACUUGAAUAAAAUCUAUCUUUGAAAACUUACUUAUGAAUGUCACUUUUGACUAAUUUUACAUGUUGAAUUUAUGAUAUUGUUGCUUGCUCGGGCAACAUAGGUUGUUGAUGAUGCAACUUAUACAUCUAUAUCUUUUGUUAGAUAUAUCUUGCUCUUCCUUUUUCGUGAUUUAAUCUAACUUAAUUUGUCCUCUCCAUUUCUUAUGCAACUUUUGUAUUGGUUGCCAUCAUCAACACAAUAUGGAAUGUUUUUUUCGCCACCGUAUUUUCUGGCUCAGUUUUACAUCAGCUCUUAAUCAUCCUUGAUCUGAGGGAAAAUACUGGACAACUAGCUGUUGCAGUCCCGACGCAGGUAUACACGAUAUUCAAAUCUAAAACUGCAUAUUAAAUGAACAACUAAAUAUGAUACAAUAUUCUAUUUCCAUGUCUUUUUAAUUCAAUUUAUAUUGAUUUUACUAUAGGCAUCGUUUUUCAUUACUUACGUUGCCACUACAGGAUGGACAAGCGUUUCAUCGAAACUAUUUCAGAUAAUUCCUUUCAUUCUCAGUUUGAUAAAAAGUCCCUUCACAAAACAUGAAAGUGAAUUCGAAGCUCCGUAUAUGCCUUACCACAGAGAUCUUCCAAGGAUCAUUUUCUUUGGAAUUCUUGAUAUUUCAUAUUUCUUCUUAGCUUCGCUAAUUUUACCAUUUCUCUUGGUCUAUCUUUGUAUCGCAUACAUCAUUUACCGAAACCAGUUCAGAUUUCUUUGUAUGCUUAUCUUGCAAAGUCAUUUUAUCGACGUGAAUAAUGUAUGUGAGACUCGAAGAAACUGAUUUUUACAUGGCUUGCACUGAUGUGAUGAUUUUUUGUUACGCAGUUCAUAAAUGUAUAUACAUCAAAGUAUGAAACUGCGUGAAGAUUCUGGCCUAUCGUACACAAUUCAAUGAUAUUUUCUCUAGUUCUUAUGCAACUGAUUACAGUGGGAAGUUUUGCUUAAAAAAACUUUCUCCAGCUCCGACUUGGACGCGUUCUGUACCAGUACUCACUCUUAUCUUUAAUUAUUACUGCUGAUGGUGAUUCUUGCCUAUAUUUACUGCAUACUCAAUAGAGGGUACAGCAAAUGUGGUAUUAGCAGGAUUGCCUGAUUCCCUUAAGUUAAUCAUUGGGUCUAGUUUGAAGGAUGAAGACAAAGAAAAUGGAUUAAGUGGUAGAAGCAAAGCCAUGAAACUUUAAAUUUUUUAUUUUUGUUGUAGUACAGGAUUUUGUUUGGAAUGAAAUUUUAGAAUUUUCAUAGAAAUUGUUGCUUAACUGUUUUUCGUUCAAUUAUAUGUCAAAAACUAAUGUUACCAAGGAAUGAAAAAAUGAAGGUGGUUGAUAUAUGGCAAAA